rnacentral:rRNA from 1 species
GUGUCAGCCGCCGCGGUAAUACCUGCAGCCCGAGUGGUGGCCGUUAUUAUUGGGCCUAAAACGUCCGUAGCCUGUUUGGUAGAUGCCUGUGUAAAUCGAACGGCUCAACCGUUCGAACUGCGGGUAGACCGCCAGACUUGGGACCGGGAGAGUCACGAAGUACUCCGGGGGUAGAGGUGAAAUUCUGUAAUCCUCGGGGGACUACCGGUGGCGAAGGCGUCGUGAUAGAACGGCUCCGACGGUGAGGGACGAAGCCCUGGGGCGCAAACCGGAUUAGAUACCCGAGUAGUCC